UGUCUCCCAGCCUGAGGUGCAGUGCUGCAUCUCUGGUCAGUUGGGAGUCUGAGAUGAAGCACUGUAGCUCAGGAAGGGAGAAGU
rfam:Myotis lucifugus cont2.34300, whole genome shotgun sequence.